GAUGAACGCUGGCGGCGUGCCUAAUACAUGCAAGUCGAGCGAACAGAUAAGGAGCUUGCUCCUUUGACGUUAGCGGCGGACGGGUGAGUAACACGUGGGUAACCUACCUAUAAGACUGGGAUAACUUCGGGAAACCGGAGCUAAUACCGGAUAACAUUUGGAACCGCAUGGUUCUAAAGUGAAAGAUGGUUUUGCUAUCACUUAUAGAUGGACCCGCGCCGUAUUAGCUAGUUGGUAAGGUAACGGCUUACCAAGGCGACGAUACGUAGCCGACCUGAGAGGGGGAUCGGCCACACUGGAACUGAGACACGGUCCAGACUCCUACGGGAGGCAGCAGUAGGGAAUCUUCCGCAAUGGGCGAAAGCCUGACGGAGCAACGCCGCGUGAGUGAUGAAGGGUUUCGGCUCGUAAAACUCUGUUAUUAGGGAAGAACAAAUGUGUAAGUAACUGUGCACGUCUUGACGGUACCUAAUCAGAAAGCCACGGCUAACUACGU
rnacentral:rRNA from 1 species